UGGGGAAUAUUGCACAAUGGGCGCAAGCCUGAUGCAGCCAUGCCGCGUGUGUGAAGAAGGCCUUCGGGUUGUAAAGCACUUUCAGCGAGGAGGAAGGUGUGAGCUUAAUACGCUCAUCAAUUGACGUUACUCGCAGAAGAAGCACCGGCUAACUCCGUGCCAGCAGCCGCGGUAAUACGGAGGGUGCAAGCGUUAAUCGGAAUUACUGGGCGUAAAGCGCACGCAGGCGGUUUGUUAAGUCAGAUGUGAAAUCCCCGGGCUCAACCUGGGAACUGCAUUUGAAACUGGCAAGCUAGAGUCUCGUAGAGGGGGGUAGAAUUCCAGGUGUAGCGGUGAAAUGCGUAGAGAUCUGGAGGAAUACCGGUGGCGAAAGGCGGCCCCCCUGGACGAAGACUGACGCUCAGGUGCGAAAGCGUGGGGAGCAAAACAGGAUUAGAUACCCUGGUAGUCCACGCUGUAAAACGAUGUCGAUUUUGGAGGUUGUGCCCUUGAGGCGUGGCUUCCGGAGCUAACGCGUUAAAUCGACCGCCUGGGGAGUACGGCCGCAAGGUUAAAACUCAAAUGAAUUGAC
rnacentral:rRNA from 1 species